rnacentral:lncRNA from 1 species
UUGUAUGAACAUCUCAUAAUUGAGGGUCAAAUAUAAGCAAAAAGCAGACUCAAAGCCAGCCAUCCCUGGUUGACUUGUUGACAAAAUAAUUCACAGACAGUUCCCAGGCCCUCGGCCACAGAGCUGUAAACAAGCUUCCAGUUGCUGAACGAACCAUAAUAGACCCGAGAUAAAACCAUUCGUCUUCAAGUCAUCUCAGGACCCAGGAGUGCCAAUUCAAAUGGUCACGCACAAGCACAAAACACCGAGCAUGAAACAUCACGUUUCUGCUGUAUUUGAUUUCUGUACAUUUUCAAUGAAAUGUCUGGGCAUUUCAGUAUGGCUAAGUCAGUCUAGGGGUAUUAGGAAUCAGCCGGGUAAACCAGUGCCCUGGGAAAUGUCCCAAGCCAGCUUAGGCAUGAUCUGAAAAGUCCCUGCAAGUUUCUCUUGCUUUGUAUGUUACUCAGUGAUAACAGUAAUUCAAUUCCAUUCCAGAACAACAAUAUACAUUGGGUUUCCAUUGCAUCUUCAGGAUCCUGUUCCGGGAUAUUCCUGAAGACUGCCGGUAUCCAGUAUUUUACCCACUUGAUCCUGGUGCAUGUACAGGAAGACAUCUCAG